ACUCUCUCUAUUUUCUUCUUCUUUCACUGUCACUCACCUUUACUCCUUUUCCUCAUUUUGCCGAGACACAUACACACCUCUACACCUACAACCACAGCAAGGCAACACCCCCACCAUCAUCCCUUGUAAUCCUUGUGAACCAUUGGACCUAGAAAUAGGAGAAAAGCACCUAGAAAACCACCUCCCCGCGCUGCACAGUACAAGCAUUGUGCAUCACUUUUCUCCGGUGAAUUCUAGCCAUUUCUGGCCAAGGAGCUCGGAAAACACAAAGGAAGGUCAUUAUUCAUUUUUAGAAAUUUCGAAUCCGUGGUCGUUUGGCCACAUUCCAGCCAUUUUUCCGACCAACUCUGAUCUCCAUUGGGCCUCCUAAGGGAACUCAUGAGGAAUGCAAGUACGUGCAUACUCGCAGGUGCGUGCAGCAGUGCGUGGAGGAGCCCGAGGUCCCUCCUUAGGUUUCUCAACAUGGCGAACUCGAAUCUGCCUUCUGUUUUCCAAAAUUUGACCGUUUUAAAAUAGUUUCUUUAUUAGCUAUACUUUGUAUGAAAAUGCGUUUAUAUGUUAAUACGUUAUGUAUUUACAUAAAUGGCUUCGUUUCUAGAUGAAACAUAUCACAAGGACUCUCGAUGCUAUGAGACGGGUUCGAUUCGACGACAUGAAGUGUUUUAAUAGCCGAGCUUUCGUAUUGACGAAGAUUCUUGGUAAAUCUCAGUAUACGUGGCUACCUAUGAUGAUCACUAGACACCGUUCGGUUAUACAGAAAAUCUUGUCCUAUAUUUUAGACAAAGAUCAUGUGACGCGUGGGGAGCUUGUGAUCGCCAGAAUUUGGAGGAUUAACUUGUUAGAUGAUACUGUCAUCUUAUAGCUAUCCUUAUGAACCCAAGAUGCAAUACGCGUGGGGAACUUCACCCUCAUUGAUAUCAUUUAAGCAUCAAUUUGCUUCCCUAUCUAUCAAUCUUUGAUUGUACAAAGUUUGAUUUGUGCUUAAUCUUAAUCUCACUUAUUGCCACAGAAUGCGAUACAUAAGCCACUUGUCACAUUAUCGAUGAUCAAAAUUUGAGAAAGCCCAAGUGUUGCUAACUUUAUUACUGUCAUUCAUUGGUUGCAUACAGAAAAAGAAACUUGUCAUUCAUUGGCGCAUGCGAUCUGCAUAAAAUGUUUAUUGUUAAACAAAAUACAUAAUCAUUGUUUAUAUCAAAUCGAAAAGAUAGCGUGUAGAAGCCAUGAUUAGAUUCAAGAAUUUAAAUCAGUCCGCAUAAAAAUCCAACUAAAAUACCAAUUAGUUAAUUUAGUUUAGGAUAAAUCAAAGAAAUUGGAUGAUAAAAGAAAUGUCAGGUCGAUUCAGAUAGGCAAGAAGCAACCAAAUUCUAUCAACCUCUGAACCCAGAAAGAAGAAUGGAUUAUGGACCACGUAUUUUAUGAGGUAGAAAUAAAAUCCUUCUAUUUUUUUUUUCAAAUGCCCUCCCUACCCAAUUAUUGGAGUUUUGUCUGUUCAACAAUAUUGUUUUCGUAUGUACCCAAAAAUUAACUAAUUUGUCAUCGUUAUAUUCUUGUUUCUUUUUCGUUUCUAAAUUUAUUAAAAAUACUAUUCUUACUAUAAUUUUCAUAUUACAUUUGUAUCAUAUUUCUAAUAGAGAAUAAAGAUAAGAUCUACAUGUGUUAGUGACCCUACCUCUAUUAGAAAGAUGAUGCAAAUAUGAUAAGUGUUACAUUAUUCUUUUUACUAGCUUAAAGUUGUUCAACUCUUUUGAUUUAUUAGUUAUAUUUACCUUUUCAACUAUUGAAUCAUGAAUAUGUUACGUACAUCCACUAUGACCUUUGUUUUCGUCAAAUCAUACAUAAUCAUAUGCAUAUAACAAGUACAAAAGUAUGAAUGAUAAUUUUCAAUAACAAAUUUUAUUUAGUCUCAAUAAACAUGUUAUAGUUUUUCGUUGGGUCUCAAUGCCACAACUCCAAAUCAAAAAUAAGUUAAUACUAAUUAUAACGAUUAUUUAUUCCGUUAUUAAGAAACUUACACCUCAGUUGGUUAAGAAUAUUUUCUUUUUGCAUAGUCUCGAGUUCAAAUUCUCACCCUUCAAUAUCACUUAUAUAAAAAUUAAUAACCGUUGUUAUGGGUUUGAUUGGAAGAGCUUAACUUCUGGUAUGACUUAUGAGGCUAGGCUAGGGGACAUAUGGCCUCCCAAAAUGUAACUAGCUAGGGACUAGAAUCCAAAAUUUGUUUAUUUUAUGCUUACUGUUUUAUCAACUUACUUGGUGAUGGUUAUCCAAGACUUACGCAAAACCUAUUUUAAAGAAGGGAUAACUUGAUAUAGAUCCAAUUUUGUGAGUCAUUAGUAGGAUUAGUCCACUUCAUUGAAAUAGAUCCAAUAAUUGAGAUUCCACGUAUGCUUAUUUGUGAUUUGUACCAUAUUUACCCCUUAGGCUUACAAAUUGUAGUAAAUUCACAAAAAAUUCUUAAUUAUGGGAUUAUUUGUGGUUUAACUAAUCCCUUAAUUGUAGGAUUAGUUAUAGCCAUAUAAUUACCUCAACCCCCAGUCCGUUUCAUCCCUCCUUCUUUCCUUCUUCCACACAAUUCCCUUCGUUAGAUCAUGGAAUCAAUCCUCUUCUUUUUUGUCUCGUCUUUUCAUGGGUGAUAUUUUUGUGUUUUCCCUCCAAAUUCGUUCCUUUAAUGGAGGUAUAUUAUAUCAUAUUUAUAUUUCUAUGUUCCGCCAUGUA